rnacentral:rRNA from 1 species
UGGGGAAUCUUGCACAAUGGGCGAAAGCCUGAUGCAGCCAUGCCGCGUGAGUGAAGAAGGCCCUAGGGUUGUAAAGCUCUUUCGCUAGGGAAGAUAAUGACGGUACCUAGUAAAGAAGCCCCGGCUAACUCCGUGCCAGCAGCCGCGGUAAUACGGAGGGGGCUAGCGUUGUUCGGAAUCACUGGGCGUAAAGCGCGCGUAGGCGGACUGAUUAGUUGGAGGUGAAAGCCCAGAGCUCAACUCUGGAACUGCCUUCAAUACUGUCAGUCUAGAGUUCGAGAGAGGUGAGUGGAAUUCCUAGUGUAGAGGUGAAAUUCGUAGAUAUUAGGAAGAACACCAGUGGCGAAGGCGGCUCACUGGCUCGAUACUGACGCUGAGGUGCGAAAGCGUGGGGAGCAAACAGGAUUAGAUACCCCCGUAGUCC